CCUACGGGUGGCAGCAGUGAGGAAUAUUGGUCAAUGGGCGUAAGCCUGAACCAGCCAAGUCGCGUGAGGGAUGAAGGUUCUAUGGAUCGUAAACCUCUUUUAUAAGGGAAUAAAGUGUGGGACGUGUCCUGUUUUGUAUGUACCUUAUGAAUAAGGAUCGGCUAACUCCGUGCCAGCAGCCGCGGUAAUACGGAGGAUACGAGCGUUAUCCGGAUUUAUUGGGUGUAAAGGGUGCGUAGGCGGCCUUUUAAGUCAGCGGUGAAAGUCUGUGGCUCAACCAUAGAAGUGCCGUGGAAACUGGGAGGCUUGAGUAUGUUUGAGGCAGGCGGAAUUCGUGGUGUAGCGGUGAAAUGCUUAGAUAUCACGCAGAACCCCGAUUGCGAAGGCAGCCUGCCAAGCCAUGACUGACGCUGAUGCACGAAAGCGUGGGGAUCAAACAGGAUUAGAUACCCCUGUAGUC
rnacentral:rRNA from 1 species